rnacentral:rRNA from 1 species
UAGGGAAUAUUGGGCAAUGGUCGGAAGACUGACCCAGCCAUGCCGCGUGAAGGACGAAGGGUCUACGACUUGUAAACUUCUUUAGCUAGGGAAGAAAAAGGGAGUGCGCUCCUUAUUGACGGUACCUAGAGAAUAAGCACCGGCUAACUACGUGCCAGCAGCCGCGGUAAUACGUAGGGUGCAAGCGUUAUCCGGAUUUAUUGGGCGUAAAGGGUGCGUAGGCGGUUUGGUAAGUUAGAUGUGAAAGCUAUGGGCUCAACCCAUAGUUGCGUCUAAAACUGUCAGGCUAGAGGAUGCUAGAGGAAAGUGGAACUCGUGGUGUAGCGGUGAAAUGCGUAGAUAUCACGAGGAACACCAGUGGCGAAGGCGACUUUCUGGGGCAUUUCUGACGCUGAGGCACGAAAGCAUGGGGAGCAAACAGG